rnacentral:rRNA from 1 species
UACGGAGGGUGCAAGCGUUACUCGGAUUUACUGGGCGUAAAGGGUGCGUAGGUGGAUAUGUAAGUCAGAUGUGAAAUCCUAGGGCUCAACCUUAGAACUGCAUUUGAAACUACAUGUCUUGAGUUUGGGAGAGGUAGAUGGAAUUCUCGGUGUAGGGGUAAAAUCCGUAGAUAUCGAGAGGAAUACUCAUUGCGAAGGCGAUCUACUAGAACAAUACUGACACUGAGGCACGAAAGCGUGGGGAGCAAACAGG